AGAGUUUGAUCCUGGCUCAGAUUGAACGCUGGCGGAAUGCCUUACACAUGCAAGUCGAACGGCAGCACGGGAGCAAUCCUGGUGGCGAGUGGCGAACGGGUGAGUAAUACAUCGGAACGUGCCCAAUCGUGGGGGAUAACGUAGCGAAAGCUACGCUAAUACCGCAUACGAUCUACGGAUGAAAGCAGGGGACUCGCAAGAGCCUUGCGCGAAUGGAGCGGCCGAUGGCAGAUUAGGUAGUUGGUGGGGUAAAGGCUCACCAAGCCUUCGAUCUGUAGCUGGUCUGAGAGGACGACCAGCCACACUGGGACUGAGACACGGUCCAGACUCCUACGGGAGGCAGCAGUGGGGAAUUUUGGACAAUGGGCGCAAGCCUGAUCCAGCAAUGCCGCGUGCAGGAUGAAGGCCUUCGGGUUGUAAACUGCUUUUGUACGGAACGAAACGGUCUCUCUUAAUACGGGGGACUAAUGACGGUACCGUAAGAAUAAGCACCGGCUAACUACGUGCCAGCAGCCGCGGUAAUACGUAGGGUGCGAGCGUUAAUCGGAAUUACUGGGCGUAAAGCGUGCGCAGGCGGUUAUAUAAGACAGAUGUGAAAUCCCCGGGCUCAACCUGGGACCUGCAUUUGUGACUGUAUAGCUAGAGUACGGUAGAGGGGGAUGGAAUUCCGCGUGUAGCAGUGAAAUGCGUAGAUAUGCGGAGGAACACCGAUGGCGAAGGCAAUCCCCUGGACCUGUACUGACGCUCAUGCACGAAAGCGUGGGGAGCAAACAGGAUUAGAUACCCUGGUAGUCCACGCCCUAAACGAUGUCAACUGGUUGUUGGGUCUUCACUGACUCAGUAACGAAGCUAACGCGUGAAGUGCCCGCCUGG
rnacentral:rRNA from 1 species